rnacentral:rRNA from 1 species
AAUAGAUACCCUGGUAGUCCACGCCGUAAACGAUGAGUGCUAAGUGUUAGGGGGUUUCCGCCCCUUAGUGCUGCAGCUAACGCAUUAAGCACUCCGCCUGGGGAGUACGGUCGCAAGACUGAAACUCAAAGGAAUUGACGGGGGCCCGCACAAGCGGUGGAGCAUGUGGUUUAAUUCGAAGCAACGCGAAGAACCUUACCAGGUCUUGACAUCCCAUUGACCGCUAUGGAGACAUAGCUUUCCCUUCGGGGACAGUGGUGACAGGUGGUGCAUGGUUGUCGUCAGCUCGUGUCGUGAGAUGUUGGGUUAAGUCCCGCAACGAGCGCAACCCUUGUUCUUAGUUGCCAUCAUUUAGUUGGGCACUCUAAGGAGACUGCCGGUGACAAACCGGAGGAAGGUGGGGAUGACGUCAAAUCAUCAUGCCCCUUAUAACCUGGGCUACACACGUGCUACAAUGGACGGUACAAACGGUUGCCAACCCGCGAGGGGGAGCUAAUCCGAUAAAACCGUUCUCAGUUCGGAUUGUAGGCUGCAACUCGCCUAC